rnacentral:lncRNA from 1 species
AUUCUCCCACAAGCACAGAGUGCGAAGGUAGAAUUAGGGUUCAUCAAAGAAUUUGGGGACAUUUUCUGUGCUGACCCUGCUCCAACCAAUCACCGUUCAACCAAGGACAUUCUUCCACAAGGAUUGUUCCCCGUCAACCACAUUUUAUCCUCUUCCAAUCUAUUAUCUCUACACUAGGACGAGGUAAUUUAUACAUCCAUGUGUGCAUGAACAUAAGUAUGUUGUUGUCCUAAA